rnacentral:ncRNA from 1 species
UAAUACGCAAGUGCCGCAUAUAAAAUCACUUCACUUAGCAUUGAUCAGAUACGUAAAAUCACUUUAGCAAGCCUCGAUUAUACGUUGAUCUUGAACGUUGAUUUUCACGUUGUGCCGCACGAAAAAUCAUUUUACCAAGCAUCGUUGAAUUAAUUUAUUAAUGUAAAUUAUAGAUAAUUUUAUAAAUAUAAAAUAAUAUUGUGCCAGCAUUUGCGGUUAAACAAUUUAUAUAAAUUAAUUUAUAUUAUUAUGAAUAAUUAUUUUUGUUUAUUUUAAGGAAAAAUUUAAAUUUAAAAUUUAAGAUGGAAUUAAAUUUUUUUAAAAAAUUUUUGUUUAAAAAUAAAAUUUUAUAUUUAAAAAAUUUUUAAAAAACUAGGAUUAGAUACCCUAUUAUUUUAUAUCAAAAAUUUAAUAUUAAGGAAUUGUAAUAUUUUGUGUUAUUAAAAAAUUAAAAAAUAUGGCGGUAUACUAAUCUAUUUAGGGGGGCUUGUUUGUUUAAUUUGAUACUCCACGAUAAAAUAAACUUAAUUAAUUUAAAUUUUUAUUAUUUUUAAUUAAUUUAAAUUUAAAUUUAUGUAUGUUCGUAAUAAAAAUAUUUUAUAAAAAUUUUUAAUAUUUUUAAUAUAUUUAAAAUUAAGAUAUUAAAUUUCAGAUCAAUAUAUAAUUAAUUUUUAAGAAUAAAAUGAGUUACAUUUAGAUAAAUUUAAUUUUAGAAAUUUUUUAACUAGUUUUUUUAAAAGAAUUUAAAAGUAAAAUUAUUUAUUAAUUAAUUUGAAUAUAGUUUUUGUGUAUGUACAAAUUGCCCGUCACUUUUAUUAUUAAAAUAAAAUAAGUCGUAACAAAGUAAAUUUACUGGAAAGUGUAUUUAGUAAUUU